rnacentral:rRNA from 1 species
AAAUGAGAGUUUGAUCCUGGCUCAGGAUGAACGCUGGCGGCGUGUCUAAGGCAUGCAAGUCGAAUGCCGCAACUGUAGCGACGGGUUUUAAACCUGUCGCUACAGUUGCGGCAUGGCAGACGGGUGAGUAACACAUUGGUAACCUACCUCUAACUCGGGCAUAACUCGGAGAAAUCCGGGAUAAUUCCUGAUAGCCAUGGGGGGACAUAAGUCAUUCCCAUGUAAAGAUUUAUCGGUUAGAGAGGGGCCUAUGGCCCAUCAGCUUGUUGGUAAGGUAAAAGCUUACCAAGGCAAUGACGGGUAGCGGGUGUGAGAGCAUGACCCGCCUCACUGGGACUGAAAUACUGCCCAGACUCCUACGGGAGGCUGCAGUCAAGAAUCUUCCGCAAUGGCCGAAAGGCUGACGGAGCGACGCCGCGUGUAGGAUGACGCCCUUCGGGGUGUAAACUACUUUUCUCAGGGACGAAUUCGUGACGGUACCUGAGGAAUAAGUCACUGCUAACCUCGUGCCAGCCCCGCACCUCGAGUAUAUCUAGAGGUGGGUGGAGGCUGGUUAAGCGCGAGGUCAUUAUAGUAAUAUAAUGAAAGAAAAUUUCGCUAUAUGACCGGAACCCUAAAAAAGUUUAGGGAAGCCGGUAACGUCAAUAAAGUCGUGAGACUUAAGACGUUCUGGAAACUCUAUUAUCGGCCGCUGAUAGUUCCUAAUUUUUAGGACACGGUAAUAGACAAUCAGCAGGCAACUCCGUUAAACGGAGGCGCCUCAGAGACUACACGCGAAACCCCUACUUAAUAAAAUAAGAGGGUGAUGAUAUAGUCCAACCUAAAACCAUAAAUUGGUUACGGGGCCAGCAGCAGCGGUAAGACGAGGGUGGCUAGCGUUAUCCGGAUUUAUUGGGUGUAAAGCGUCCCUAGGCGGUUUGAUAAGUUUUUGGUUAAAUCUUUGAGCUCAACUCAAAGGCUGCUAAAAAAACUACCAGACUAGAGACCGGGAGAGGUCAGCGGAAUGGCCGGUGUAGUAGUAAAAUGCAUUAAUAUCGGCUAGAACACCAAUUGCGAAGGCAGCUGACUAGAACGGAUCUGACGCUCAUAGGACGAAAGCGUGGGUAGCGAAUGGGAUUAGAUACCCCAGUAGUCCACGCCGUAAACGAUGGGUACUGAGCAUUGGAAGUAUCGACCCUUUCAGUGUUGUCAAUCUAAGCUAACGCCUUAAGUACCCCACCUGGGGAGUACGGCCGCAAGGCUAAAACUCAAAGGAAUUGACGGGAGUCCGCACAAGCGGUGGAGCAUGUGGUUUAAUUCGACUCUAAGCGAGGAACCUUACCAGGGCUUGACAUCCUGCGAAUCCCAAUGAAAGUUGGGAGUGCCUUUAUCGGAACGCGGUGACAGGUGCUGCAUGGUUGUCGUCAGCUCGUGUCGUGAGAUGUCAGGUUAAGUCCUUUAACGAGCGCAACCCUUACUCUGUGUUAAAUUAUUCACAGAGAACUGCCCCGGAUAACGGGGAGGAAGGUGGGGAUGACGUCAAAUCAGCAUGGCUCUUACGCCCUGGGCUACACACGUGCUACAAUGGCGAGUACAAAGGGUUUGCAAAACCGCAAGGUGAAGCUAAUCCCAUCAAAACUCGUCCCAGUUCGGAUUGAGGUCUGCAACUCGACCUCAUGAAGUUGGAAUCGCUAGUAACCGUGAAUCAGCCACGUCACGGUGAAUACGUUCUCGGACUUUGUACACACCGCCCGUCACAUCAAGAGAGUCGAUAGUACCCGAAAGCUGACAUUUUGUCGGACUAAGGUAAGAUCGAUGAUAGGGAUGAAGUCGUAACAAGGCAUCCGUAGCGGAAGCUGUGGAUGGAUCACCUCCUUUCUAGGGAG